rnacentral:lncRNA from 1 species
CGUCAUAUAUUAUCCACUAACAAAGUUACUUGGUGCCAUCAAGCACUAUAACCUUGAUUUGUAGGAUGCCAUUGCCCUGCAUCAUGGCCGCUGCACGCAGCAUUACAAGCUUCUUCCAUCGAGGUGUGGGACACCCCUGCAUUGCAGAUAUUGGCAAAUGUACGCAUGUGUUUCAUGCCAUACUGUGUCAACGAACCACAGCAUGUUUCAAAUACACGAACCUGAGGUUUCAAUUUCAUAUUUCUGGUUAUUGAUCGUCGAUCGAAAGAAGAACAUUAAAACAACGCAAGAAGAAUGGAUUAAUAGAUACUUUACCAUUGAUUUUAAGCAGCCCCAGUCAUCUACGAGAGGCGACCCAGGUUCUCUGACAGAUUUAAGAAUGGCAGAAGCUUUUUUGGGUCCAAACAACAGAUCUCCAAUUAAUUGCAUGCUACUAUCUAAAUGGCUCCUAUGCUUUAUUGCAUCUUUUAUCUGCUGAAGGAUUUCUUUCUUCUUCUCCGACCCAUUUUCUGAUCUCUUGUACUGCCAGGAACAGAACAAACUACAAAUUACAACUUGCAUUAUAUGUUUUUAGCUUCAAUUCUAAUAAUCAAAGAGGAAAUAACUUGGAACUCUAAAUGACUACGCGAAUCGUUUUCUGUCAAUUUUAAGAGGACAUAGCUCUCACCAGCUGCCACAUAAAGUGAAGCUCUGCAUCUCUUUGGUUAACAACUUCCAUAGGUGCAUUUAGAUGGGCAUUAUUUGGAGGGAAGUUCACACUUGCAGGGUCAAAACCUUGGAACAAAUAGAGCUUAUCUGCUUUGAUGCUUUGGUUGCCAUAUUGCAUAACAUGAGAUCCAGCAG